rnacentral:lncRNA from 12 species
AUCAACUUUAGUCUCAGUGUUGUUCUUUGACCUGACGUCUAUGGUAACAUUUUCAUUGGCUGGGACAUUAAAAUGCCUCAGAAUGUUCCAGACGUGACACUGCAGUUUUCAAAAUACUGUUUCAUGCAUUUAAGCAUUCACAGUAACACUCAGAGGUAAAUACGUGGAGGAAUGUCUGUAUGUAAUGUAAAGAGUUAACAGCUAUAUUUCUCCACAACAUUUCUAACAAUAAAUCAUUAUUAUCGCUUUCUCUAAACAGAAACAUUCAAUCAUUCAUUCAGUCUUUUCUUCAUGAUUCCCAGUGUCACAUUUAAAUUUAAAAUCAUGAGAACCGUCCUAGUAGCAGACCUCAUACACUGCCCCAUAUAAGACAUUAAGGAAAGGCUUAAUGGGGUGUGUCCAAAAACGUUUGAGAACCACUGCUUUAUUAUAACACCGUCUAGUGUUGGAUGGAUGUGUGUCUUCCAGCACAUAAGACUAACAGCCAAUAGUGGUUAUGGUGAUGCCUAAAUUUAUAAAAACAUUAUUAAAUUAUAAUCUGCACAUUAUCUAAUCCUCCCAUGCUACUGGUCAGUGUACAAUAUCCAGCCACAGAUUUUUAUAACACUAAAAUAAAAAUCACCUUUUGUUUGUUGUACUGAUUGGCGAUGAUUUUUUAUUUAUUUUUUAAUUGUGCACUUUUUUGUGAUUUUCCCAUGUGUUUUUAUUUUAUGUAUGUUCUGAAUAAAUACUUACUAUAUAUUAUUUAAGAGAGAUAACUCGUAAUGUUUUUCAAGUGCACGCGGACACGCCCCCUUGUUUCCGUGGAAACGUGCGCACUGCGCAGUUUCACUUUCACUUAACAACGAAGAACGGUCGAGUCUUUGCAGCAGUAUCUUAUCCUGGCGAACGCAUUUAUGCAGUCAUGGACAGUGUUAAGAUGGACGUGAAGGAAAUGGUUAUUGAAGUCAAUGAACUUCCAGACGACUACCCCAAUAAUAAAAUGAUUGACAAAUUAACCAUGCACUUUCUGAGGCCCAGAAACAACGGUGGAGAGGUUUUAAUAGUGAUAUAUCCCACCUCCAACAAAGGCCAGGCUUAUGUUGUUUUUGAUUCAGAAGUACUCCGAGUCUUGGACCAUAAUCAUGUUUUGGAACUGGAUGGUCAGUUUUACCCACUGGAUGUUAAAAAGAUACAUCAGCCUAAGUUUGACGUGCCAGCUGAAGCAUUCCUUGAUGUGAGCAUGUUCUACAGUCAGAAAAAGAUCCGAAAUCUUCUUCAUAGCCACGGCUUUGAUGUGUCAGAGACCAGUUCAGGACAGCUGCACUUGCAGGGAACCUUUCUUAACCUAAAACGCAUCCAUCCCAAACUCAUGCAUCUCCUUGCCCAAGAAACCCACUUGCAAAGAAGCAAACCUUCGCAAUGCACUAAUGGCUUCUCGUCUGACUCUGUCUCCAGUGAUUUUGAAUCUAGAUCUCAUUCCACAUCAAGGCACAGUCCCAAUGGCCACUCAGUGUAUGCUGCAGGCAGAAACCCACAUUCUGGAAUAAACUCAAGAUCCCAAGAGUCUCCAAACGGGCAGGCACUCAUGCAGGCUGCCUCUCCAAUGGAUGUUAGUUUAAGCACAGAGAGUUCCUUCAGCAUUCCCACCAGGAGCUAUGAGGAUUUCAGCGUAAGCGCUCGGCAGAAAAAUCCCUCAUCUCACAGGAAAACUGAGGAUUCCUUCCCUGUGGAUCCACUCGCAUUCAAAUACGUAAUGCACUUUAAGAAAGAUUUUAUCGAAAAAAUAGAAUCUGAUCACCAAACUCAUAUUAGCCAUGUAGACAAUUCAGGAGUUGUUAUGGUUAAACUUUCAGGAGUAUUCUGUGAGGAAGCAGGUAAAGAAUUGCGUGAAUUCAUGCAGAACAUCAGCUCAUCUUUACGCACGCAAGAAAUAGACCUGCAUAAACUUAACAGGAGUCAAAAAAAACACAUUACUGAGAAGGCUUUCUCAUUCCAAAAGAUCUACAAUGUUUUAAUUAGGGAGGAAAAUGAUAUUCUCAAAGUGGUGGGUUCCUCUAAAGACAGUUAUGAAGCGAUGGAAAGGCUUCUUGGACAGGAGGUUAAUAUUGCUUUGCCAAGACAUUCCGCAAGGAACUCUUUGCGACGGAGCAACUCUUUGCCAAGACAAAAAACAAGGUAUAGCGAGGAGAACCCAGACUUGGGAGGAAUUCCUGAUGCUGUGUACACUACUACUGUUAGUAGCUCCUCUGCCUCUCAUUCCCGGACUGACCCUCAAUUACAACCAGAAGAACAACAGGAAAGAGGUCGCAAGUCCUCUAAAUCCUCUGCACAAUGUGGCAGGGCACACAGCGCCUCUCGAUUACAACACAAAAAUGAAAGCAGAGUAAACCGAGAACCAUCAGCUUAUGAUAAGCAGGAUUUGACACCCCCUCAUGAAGUUCAGAUAUUUAAAAACAGGCCCAUUCCUAAAUUUAGGGCUGCUCUUACUCCUAAAAGAAAGAUCAAUUUCAAAAAAGAAGUUUAAAUUGUUAAAACAACAUUAAAACAUGAAUUCCUCAUAUAAGCACACUUUAAGACUGUAGAAUGUUGUUAGUCAGACACUUUGACACUUCUUUAAGAGAGUGGAAUGCUGCUCUGUGCUGAUAGUUCAGUUUGCUUAAUAACGUGUAUAUACAUCAGAAAAUUCUGGGUUCAGUACAAAAAAUAAAAAAUUUAAAGUGAUUGAUUGAUUACCAUGAAAAUGUAUCUCCACUUAUUUUAAAAGAAAAACAAAAUAGGGCUCAUUGGUUCAGUAUAGCCACAAGACAUGAAACAAAAUAACAUGGGCACAUAAAGUUUUUCUGUGUGAAGUUAUAUUCAAUUUUAAUACACCUAACUCAACUGUAAAAAUAUUGAAACAACACAAAUAAUAAGAACCUGGUCCGUGUACGUUUUGAUAGUUUGUUUUUUCGUUUGAAACACAAAACAAAAUAACGAGAAACCACCUGUUUUUCGUUUGUCGUUUCAAACCAAAAACAACGAAACGGUAAAAAAAAGAGCCGUUCUCCCGUUUUUGGUUCUGAAUCCAAAAACGAAAAAUGACAAAACCAAAAUCAAAUAACGGUCCGAUUUUGGUUUUUUGAAAUUCCUUUUUCCAUUUUUUCGUUUGAAGAUCUACAUUGAAAUACAGACAGGUUGGCCACGUGACCCGGAAGUAAUAGUAAAUAUGGCCUAUCAAAAUAAAAGCCAAGCUUUUAGAACGGUCAUAAUAUGCAGCGCUAACGUUAUACCAGAGUAACGUUAGAAGAAGAAAAAUCAAUUAAUAAAUAGCCUUAUAUAAACCUGGACCGGAAUAAAUAUGUUAGCAACAGUAGUGCUCCUGUAGCUCGCGAGAGCAUUGCGUUACGAAGCGCAAGGCUGGGGGUUCGAUUCCCCGGGAACACAUGAUAGGUAAAAAUUGAUAGCCUGAAUUCACUGUAAGUCGCUUUGGAUAAAAGCGUCUGCUAAAUGCAUAAAUUUAAUUUUAAUUUAAUUUUAAUUUAGUUUAUUACAGCUAUUUAAUAUCGUGCCUAUCCAGACAUCACCAGUCACGUUUAAGGAGCGCAUUGUUUGGCUCAAUACAGUUGGUAAUAUAGGUUAACCUAAGAACUUAUUGUGUGUGCAGAGUUGUUACUGUUAGCGCUAUAUUAUAUAAUUAAAUUUAUAUUUAAUGUGGUUUCCACCGUAAUGGAUAACUGUUCCCCCUUUCUACCAGCAGGUGGCAGUAUUUAAAUGACUGACUGUAUGGUGUCUUUGGUUACUGUUUUAAAGCAAGAUUACUGAUACAGAUGUAUUUAUUGUUGUUCAUUUUAUUUUGUUUUUUAUUUUAUUUGCCUAGUUAUCAUCAUCAUCAUCAUCAUUCACCCAGCCCAGAGUUAAACCUGCUUCUGUUUUAACCUGAUUAUAACACUGCUAUCAGAUUCUUAUAGCAGCUCAGACAACAAACUCACAUCAGACAUGUCCUAAUCCUAAUGUAGGCCAUCUGGCCAAAAGAAUGAUUUACCAGUGUGCUAUAUACUGUGUGAAUCUUUCUUCUCUAUACACAUUCCAGUU